GGCGAGUUAGCCAAGCGGUAAGGCACGAGUCUGCAAAACUCUGAUGAUCGGUCCGACUCCGAUACUCGCCUCCA
rnacentral:tRNA from 2 species